rnacentral:rRNA from 1 species
UACGUAGGGUGCGAGCGUUAAUCGGAAUUACUGGGCGUAAAGCGUGCGCAGGCGGUUCGUUGUGUCGGUGGUGAAAGCCCCGGGCUUAACCUGGGAAUGGCCAUGGAAACUGGCGAACUGGAGUGUGGCAGAGGGGGGUGGAAUUCCGCGUGUAGCAGUGAAAUGCGUAGAGAUGCGGAGGAACACCGAUGGCGAAGGCAGCCCCCUGGGCCAACACUGACGCUCAGGCACGAAAGCGUGGGGAGCAAACAGG